rnacentral:rRNA from 1 species
GAGUAAAUAUUUACUGUAAAGAAAUAACAACUUAUUUUAUUUAUAUACCUUUUGCAUAAUGGUUUAAUAAAAAUUUAUAAUAAUUUUAAUUUUUCCCGAAUUUAGAAGAUUUAAUUUUUAUAGUUUUUUAGAACAUUUAAAGAUUAAUAAUGUUUCAAAAUUAUAAUUUAUAAUAAAAAUUAGGGGUGAAAGGCCAUUCAAUUCUAAAGAUAUCUGGAAUAAUUUUAAAUGUAUUUAGUACAAAAUAAAUUUUGAAUAAUAAAAUGUUAAGAUUUUUUUAAUAAAAGAAUUAUUGAUGUUUAAAUUUAUUAAGGAUUAAUCUUCAAUUAAAAUAUAUAAUUUAAAAUUAAUUACUAUUUAAAUCUUUAAUUUAAAAUUAUAUUUAUAUUAAUUAAUUAAUAAAGAAAUUAUGUUAAAAUUAGUAUAAUGUUAUUAUUUAUAAAAGGAAUUCGGCUAAAAUAUUAUUCAUCUGUUUAUCAAAAACAUAGUCUUAUGAAUAAAUAUAAGGUAAAACCUGCCCACUGAUUUAUUUAAAUGGCCGCAGUACUUUGACUGUGCUAAGGUAGCAUAAUAAAUUGACUUUUAAUUGGGGCCUUGAAUGAAAGGAUUAAUGGGUAAUUUCUGUCUUUAAUGAAUAAAUUAAAAAUUACUUAAAAGGUGAAAAUUCCUUUAUUUAAUAAAAUAGACGAGAAGACCCUAGGAGUUUUAUUUUUGUUGGGGCGACAAUAUAGCAUUUAACCUAUAUAUUUUAUAGUUAAUAUAACGAAAUAUUUUAAUAAUAAUUUAACUACCCUAGGGAUAACAGCAUAAUUAAUUAAGU